UGUGGAUGUCAUUUUGGUUGGGAACACACAUUUCCUUAGGAAAAGCAGGAGGCUGUGAUGGAAGAAACUAAGGAUCUUGAAAUUGGAUAGACCUAUUACCACCUUCCCUAACUUCAAGACUUCAAGGAGAAGGAAGAAGGAGAUUUGAGACCCAGAGAAACAGAGGAAGAGGCCAUGAGAACAUGGAGGCAGAGACUGGAGGGCAAUCAUGAACUAAAAACCACCAAGGAUUGCAGAAGUCACCAGAGGCUGGGAAAGAGGCACAGCAUGGAUUCUUCCACAGAGCCUCCACAUGGAACCAGUACUGCCAAAACCUUGAUUUCAAAUAUCUGGCCUUAAAAACUGUGAAUAAAUAAUUUCCUAUUAAGUCA